UCUGGUAAUGAUGGCAGAGAGGUCACACCCGUUCCCAUACCGAACACGGAAGUUAAGCUCUCUAGCGCCGAUGGUAGUUGGGGCUUUGUCCCUGUGAGAGUAGGACGUUGCCAGGC
rnacentral:rRNA from 1 species